GACGUGGGGGGCGAGCGUUGUCCGGAUUUAUUGGGCGUAAAGCGUGCGUAGGCGGCUGCGCAAGUCGGUUGUGAAACCCCGGGGCUCAACCCCGGAACUGCAUCCGAUACUGCGUGGCUAGAGGUAGGUAGGGGAGAUCGGAAUUCCUGGUGUAGCGGUGAAAUGCGCAGAUAUCAGGAGGAACACCGGUGGCGAAGGCGGAUCUCUGGGCCUUAACUGACGCUGGAGGAGCGAAAGCAUGGGGAGCGAACAGG
rnacentral:rRNA from 1 species